rnacentral:tRNA from 1 species
UACCAAAGGAUAGUAGUAUUCCACU